UACGUAGGGGGCGAGCGUUGUCCGGAUUUAUUGGGCGUAAAGAGCGUGUAGGCGGCUUGGUAGGUCCGCUGUGAAAACUCGGGGCUCAACCCCGAGAGGUCGGUGGAAACCAUCUGGCUAGAGUCCGGAAGAGGAGAGUGGAAUUCCCGGUGUAGCGGUGAAAUGCGCAGAUAUCGGGAGGAACACCUAUGGCGAAGGCAGCUCGCUGGGACGUUACUGACGCUGAGACGCGAAAGCGUGGGGAGCAAACAGG
rnacentral:rRNA from 1 species